UUUCCUAGCUCUCCAUGCAUUACCUCUGCCUCCCCUCUUUUAUUUCUAUUUCUAUCCUUCACUUGUUUCCUUUCAUCUCCUCUUGUCUUCUCCACCGACAUUCGUCGAACCAUCUUGAAUCGGACAGUUUAAGACAUUCCGAGCCGUAUCAAUAGCAAAUCGAAAUGGAUCGAUCAGACAAAUCAGAACACAGAAUGAGGGAGA
rnacentral:lncRNA from 1 species